rnacentral:rRNA from 1 species
UACGUAGGGGGCGAGCGUUACCCGGAAUCACUGGGCGUAAAGGGUGCGUAGGCGGCCGCGUGUGUCUGGCGUAAAAUUCCACGGCUCAACCGUGGGUAUGCGCUGGAAACUACGCGGCUUGGGUGCGGCAGAGGCAGACGGAACUGCUGGUGUAGGGGUGAAAUCCGUAGAUAUCAGCAGGAACGCCGGUGGAGAAGUCGGUCUGCUGGGCCGUAACCGACGCUGAGGCACGAAAGCUAGGGGAGCGAACCGG